rnacentral:rRNA from 1 species
ACGAACGCUGGCGGCACGCUUAACACAUGCAAGUCGAACGAGAGAAGAGAAGCUUGCUUUUCUGAUCUAGUGGCGGACGGGUGAGUAACACGUGAGCAAUCUGCCUUUCAGAGGGGGAUACCGAUUGGAAACGAUCGUUAAUACCGCAUAACAUAAUUGAACCGCAUGAUUUGAUUAUCAAAGAUUUAUCGCUGAAAGAUGAGCUCGCGUCUGAUUAGCUAGUUGGUAAGGUAACGGCUUACCAAGGCGACGAUCAGUAGCCGGACUGAGAGGUUGAUCGGCCACAUUGGGACUGAGACACGGCCCAGACUCCUACGGGAGGCAGCAGUGGGGAAUAUUGCACAAUGGAGGAAACUCUGAUGCAGCGAUGCCGCGUGAGGGAAGAAGGUUUUAGGAUUGUAAACCUCUGUCUUCAGGGACGAAAAAAGACGGUACCUGAGGAGGAAGCUCCGGCUAACUACGUGCCAGCAGCCGCGGUAAUACGUAGGGAGCGAGCGUUGUCCGGAAUUACUGGGUGUAAAGGGAGCGUAGGCGGGAUCGCAAGUCAGAUGUGAAAACUAUGGGCUUAACCCAUAAACUGCAUUUGAAACUGUGGUUCUUGAGUGAAGUAGAGGUAAGCGGAAUACCUAGUGUAGCGGUGAAAUGCGUAGAUAUUAGGAGGAACAUCAGUGGCGAAGGCGGCUUACUGGGCUUUAACUGACGCUGAGGCUCGAAAGCGUGGGGAGCAAACAGGAUUAGAUACCCUGGUAGUCCACGCCGUAAACGAUGAUUACUAGGUGUGGGGGGACUGACCCCUUCCGUGCCGCAGCAAACGCAAUAAGUAAUCCACCUGGGGAGUACGACCGCAAGGUUGAAACUCAAAGGAAUUGACGGGGGCCCGCACAAGCAGUGGAGUAUGUGGAUUAAUUCGAAGCAACGCGAAGAACCUUACCAGGUCUUGACAUCGUAUGCAUAGCUCAGAGAUGAGUGAAAUCUCUUCGGAGACAUAUAGACAGGUGGUGCAUGGUUGUCGUCAGCUCGUGUCGUGAGAUGUUGGGUUAAGUCCCGCAACGAGCGCAACCCUUACUGUUAGUUGCUACGCAAGAGCACUCUAGCAGGACUGCCGUUGACAAAACGGAGGAAGGUGGGGAUGACGUCAAAUCAUCAUGCCCCUUAUGACCUGGGCCUCACACGUACUACAAUGGCUGUCAACAGAGGGAAGCAAAGCCGCGAGGUGGAGCAAACCCCUAAAAGCAGUCUUAGUUCGGAUUGUAGGCUGCAACCCGCCUACAUGAAGUCGGAAUUGCUAGUAAUCGCAGAUCAGCAUGCUGCGGUGAAUACGUUCCCGGGCCUUGUACACACCGCCCGUCACGCCAUGGGAGUCGGUAACACCCGAAGCCUGUAGUCUAACCGCAAGGAGGACGCAGUCGAAGGUGGGAUUGAUGACUGGGGUG